CCCCNAGGUGGGGGAUAGCUUUGCGAAAGUGACGGUAAUACCUGAUGAUGCCUUCGGGGGGAUGCCUCCGGAGGCCAAAGGCGGGGACCUUCGGGCCUGUCGGUUGGAGAUCAGCCCAUGUCCUAUCAGCUAGUUGGUAGGGUAACGGCCUACCAAGGCAACGACGGGUAGCCGGUCUGAGAGGAUGAUCGGCCACAUCGGAACUGAGACACUGUCCGGACACCUACGGGUGGCUGCAGUAACGAAUCUUCCGCAAUGGGCGAAAGCCUGACGGAGCGACGCCGCGUGCGGGAAGAAGUCCUUCGGGAUGUAAACCGCUUUUAGGGAGAUGAAAACAAUGCGACCUAAUACGUCGUUGCGUUGAUCUAUCUCAGAAAAAGCCUCGGCUAACUCUGUGCCAGCAGCCGCGGUAAGACAGAGGAGGCUAGCGUUGUUCGGAAUCACUGGGCUUAAAGCGGGUGUAGGCGGCUCGGCAAGUACCUUGUGAAAUGCCUCGGCUCACCCGAGGAACAGCUGGGUAUACUGCCGGGCUUGAGGCAGGUAGGGGCCACUGGAACUCUAGGUGGAGCGGUGAAAUGCGUAGAUAUCUAGAGGAACGCCUGAGGCGAAAGCGGGUGGCUGGGCCUGUACUGACGCUGAGACCCGAAAGCGUGGGGAGCAAACGGGAUUAGAUACCCCGGUAGUCCU
rnacentral:rRNA from 1 species